UACGUAGGGCGCAAGCGUUAUCCGGAAUUAUUGGGCGUAAAGAGCUCGUAGGCGGCUUGUCGCGUCGAAUGUGAAAACCCACAGCUCAACUGCGGGCUUGCAUUCGAUACGGGCAGGCUAGAGUUCGGUAGGGGAGACUGGAAUUCCUGGUGUAGCGGUGAAAUGCGCAGAUAUCAGGAGGAACACCGGUGGCGAAGGCGGGUCUCUGGGCCGAUACUGACGCUGAGGAGCGAAAGCGUGGGGAGCGAACAGG
rnacentral:rRNA from 1 species